CCUACGGGUGGCAGCAGUGGGGGAUAUUGCACAAUGGGGGAAACCCUGAUGCAGCGACGCCGCGUGAGUGAAGAAGUAUUUCGGUAUGUAAAGCUCUAUCAGCAGGGAAGAAAAUGACAGUACCUGACCAAGAAGCCCCGGCUAACUACGUGCCAGCAGCCGAGGCAAUACGAAGGGGGCAAGCGUAAUCCGGAUUUAAUGGGGGUAAAGGGAGCGUAGACGGUUAUGUAAGUCUGGAGUUAAAGCCCCGGGCCCAACCCCGGGACUGCUUUGGAAACUGUGGACCUGGAGUACAGGAGGGGCAGGCGGAAUGUCUGGUGUAGAGGUGAAAUGCGUAGAUAUCAGGCGGAACACCGGCGGCGAAGGCAGCCUGCUGGACUGAAGCUGACGUUGAGGCUCGAAAGCGUGGGGAGCAAACAGGAUUAGAUACCCCUGUAGUC
rnacentral:rRNA from 1 species